rnacentral:tRNA from 1 species
CAGAGAAUAGUUUAUUUAAAAUAUUAAUUUUGGAGAUUAAUGAUAGAGGUUUACUCUUUCUCUGA